GUAUAUGGUGGGUUUUGUGAUCGUCAAUGUUGUGGGUCACCCCCCUUUUUUAAACUCUCUCUCUCUUAAACGUUUUUCAUUUCUUCUCUGUUGAAAAAAAAUAAAUGGUGGAAGAGAGAGACCCAGUUGAUGUUUUCAUGAGUCUUGACCGGUGGCCUUUAUCGCCGCUUGAAGAUGAAGAAGAAACUGACACCGUUGCAGCGCGG
rnacentral:misc_RNA from 1 species